rnacentral:lncRNA from 1 species
AAAAUUUCAAGUGAUUUAGAUUUGUAGAAAAAAAUUAAAAUUUCAAUACAAAAUAAGAUCGUGACGAUCAGAUUCAAUCUAAGUCGUUAGGCUUUUAUAUAUAUAUAUAUAUAUACCCAUUCUAGGAUGUUUGAACUAAAAAAUUGGAGAAGUAAAAAGGGAAAAUAUCUCCAUACCUUUCAAUUUUUAAAUUUCAGUUCUCACUAUACUCAAAGUUUUAAAACAUAUUUUGAUGCAUGGAGAUGUCAUGUCUUAUUUUUUAUAAUCCUUUAUACUCACAUUACACAAUUAGGUUCUCUUUAUUUACCCUAAACAAAUUUUAAAAGACAUCUUUUUAUUACCCAAUUGUCCUUCCGUUUCUCUCUCUCCACGUGUUUCACAUACCCCACUCUCUUCAGUUUUUCUGGAUAAAUAACAUCUCUCUCUCUAAAAACGCACGAAUGUGGGCCAUGGAUUCUCUGUAACCCACCCUUAAAAAUAUUGCGAUACCUCAAUCGCUGAAUGCUCAUGGUGGAAUUUAAUCUUUUUUCUAUAUAAGGCCGUUGAUGCUCUGAAGAACCAUGUUUCUGCAAUUUCUUACGCCAGAGGUCCCUUCAUUUCAUCUCACUUUAUUGCUCUCUCUUUAGACUCUCUCUCUCUAGACUCUCUCUCUCUCUUGUUUUUUAGCUUUUGCAGGAUGGUGGUCAGACCAAUGAUCGUGGGUAUAGAGUUUAUGGAUUAG